UUGCAGGCAUAUCACGUUGAAACAACAGUUCUCGUAUGAUUACUAAAGUUAAGCAAUAUUGAGCCUGGUCAGUACCUAGAUGGGUGACCGCUUGGGAAUAUCAGGUGCUGUAAG